GAGUUUGAUCGUGGCUCAGAUUGAACGCUGGCGGCGUGCUUAACACAUGCAAGUCGAGCGGUAACAGGCGUAGCAAUACGCGCUGACGAGCGGCGAACGGGUGAGUAAUGCUUCGGAAUCUUCCUCGUAGUGGGGAAGUAACCUGGGGAAACGUCAGGCUAAUACCGCAUACGAACUACGGUUGAAAGCAGGGGAUCGCAAGACCUUGCGCUAUGAGAUGAGCCGAAGUCGGAUUAGCUAGUUGGUGAGGUAAAGGCUCACCAAGGCGACGAUCCGUAGCUGGUCUGAGAGGACGACCAGCCACACUGGGACUGAGACACGGCCCAGACUCCUACGGGAGGCAGCAGUGGGGAAUAUUGGACAAUGGGGGCAACCCUGAUCCAGCGACGCCGCGUGUGUGAAGAAGGCCUGCGGGUUGUAAAGCACUUUUAGUGGGGAUGAAAAGCCGAAGGCUAAUACCUUUCGGUCUUGACCUAACCCCAAAGAAAAGCACCGGCUAACUCUGUGCCAGCCGCCGCAGUAA
rnacentral:rRNA from 1 species